CUGUCGAUAUUACAGCAUGUGUACUGCCGUUGUAAGCAUACCUUUAAAAGAAUAAGUAUGCCACUAUGGUUAAUAAAUUGCCCACAUACAUCAGGUCAAAGUGCAGCUAAUAAGAAGGUGAUGAUGGGUUACAACCCUAAAACAGAAUAUCAACUAAGAAAUAAAAAAUCUUACGAAAGUGGACUUGGCCGUAAUCAAUUUACAAGUUAAAAAAAUGAAUAGAUAUCUAAGACAUGCACACAUCGCCCGUCACUCUAUCCUAAAGGUUAGAUAAGUCGUAACAAAGUAGGUGUAAUGGAAAUUGCACCUGUCGAAGUAUAGCAUAUAGAAUGCUUUUUACUUACACUAAAAAUAAAGUUAACUACUUGCUUCGCCCACACAUAGAUAUCUUAUAAAUAAAAAAUAAUAGAAACAACUUAACAAUGAAAAUAAUCAACAAAUAAAGUACAGAAGUGGAAAAAUUAAUUAAUAAAAGUAAAUCUUAACAAAUAUACCUUGUGCAUUAUGGUUUUACAAGAAAAAAAUUAAAAACAUUAAUCCCGAAUUCUAAACGAGAUGUUAAACUGCUGUUAUGAACCCACUAAUAACUGUAGAACAAGUUUUAAAAGACAGAUUAACAGAGGCUACAUACCAUUCGCGCAAGAAUAUAGCUGGUUUUUAACAAACAUUAUACAUUAAAACAUAUAAAUCUAUUAUAGUGUAAAAUUAUUGAGGAUAAGCCCGAUAAUUAAAGCAAUAAUUUAAAUAAAUCUAUAUAACCUCAUAGGCCUAAAAUCAGCCAACCAAAAUACUUUAUCGUAUAAAUAAAAGAUAAAAUCUAUAUAAUAGAAUGCCUUAGAUAGUUAAAAUAAUGGAAAAACACACUAACUCCAAAUAUAAUAUGUAAAAAUAAGUAUUAUUAUAACUAAAACAAACAGUCCAAAUAAAAACCAUUAUAUAAAAUAGUAAUAAUUAAUUAAGGAACUAGGCAAAUCAUUAUUUCGACUGUUUAACAAAAACAUUGUCUCAUGAAGUAAAAUAUGAGAUA
rnacentral:rRNA from 1 species